UACGUAGGGUGCAAGCGUUGUCCGGAAUUAUUGGGCGUAAAGAGCUUGUAGCGGUUUGUCGCGUCUGCUGUGAAAUUUCGGGGCUCCAAGCCUCGGGCUUGCAGUGGGUACGGGCAGACUAGAGUGCGGUAGGGGAGACUGGAAUUCCUGGUGUAGCGGUGGAAUGCGCAGAUAUCAGGAGGAACACCGAUGGCGAAGGCAGGUCUCUGGGCCGCAACUGACGCUGAGGAGCGAAAGCAUGGGGAGCGAACAGG
rnacentral:rRNA from 1 species